UACAGCCUAAUUAAACCUUACUGCUUGCACCAAGUAUUUCUUCCUCUGUAUCUGGGCCAACGUCUUGGUUUAAUUUCAUUCAUACAUGCAAUACCCUGAUCAUCUGGCUGAGUUGUUUUCUGUGGAAAGAGUAGAAGAGCACAAUCUAAUCAAAGGUACACAGAUUGCAUCUCUGAAUUGUGUUGAAUACGAUCACAUAUAUGAAUAAAGGCUCCUAUCAAUUACAUUUUCACUGUUCUUGAGAGUCAACAAGUUUCAUGAUUAUGGGACUCUGGACAGAGGGAAUGAAUACUAUAGUUAAGAUCCUCCUGCCUUAUAAAAAAGAAAACAUAGAUUCCAAGUUUGCUAUCUAGGUCUCCUUGAAGAAUGGAGAGACCCUUGCAUCCAUAAAUAUUUCACCUAUCUUCCAGCUCUCUCCCAGGCACCUUUACAAGACAACUCAUUCUCAAACAACCUACUUGCCUCCAGUGACAGCAAGGUGGCUAAAUUUACCCAGAAUGCUCAUUUCAUCAAACUGAAUAUUGAAAACAAUCACAAUAAAAUAGUGUACAAACUUCCAUGAUGAAUGCCUGCUGUCAUGAUAUGUUUUAUUAAGG